CUGAAAAUCUCAGUUUUCUUAGCCUGUCUGUUGAAUAUCUUGCCAGUGCCUUCCUGGCUUCUGUAUUUCAGAGAAGCCGAGAUCCGUGCUCAGAAUGCAGAGGAGAGAUCAGAAAGCCUGGAUGAGCAUCUGGAAGAAGCUCUGGGGAGAAUCCAGGAUCUAGAGAAACAGCUGGAAAAAGCACUCAAAGCCCAGGAAGUAGCACCAAAACCAGAAGUCCCUUCCCAAGAAGAAUCCAAGCCAACUUCUCAUAAACCAUCUGCUGCUGCCCGGUCCAAGAAAGCCAGCAGACCCAAACAUUAAAGAGUAGCAAUGCCCAGUGAAGGUAGUUUGGUUCCCAUUUGUAGUAGACUUUCAGCAUAACACUGCCCAUCUCUGAGGCUCCAGAUAUACUUUAAUUCCAAGUUCUUUAGUAUAGCAAAAUGACUGGAACACCCACUAAUGCACCCUCCCAAGGAGAGCUUUAGACAAAGCACUGGAGAGGAUCUUUUCUAGGUUUAUAAAUUAUCUGAAAACCCCACGCUGAGUAACGCAAUAUUUUAGUGUAGUUGCCGGUCAUAACUGGAGACUGGACUAGAACAGAACUUGUAGAAAAGGCUUUCAGGCCUUCUCAGCAUAGCUGUUAGUAGAGUCUUUAAGAGAUCAGGUCAUAAACUUAUCCCAGGCUAGCUGUACUGCCACAAUUGGAAUUUUGGGAUUAGUUGUCCAGAUCUCAGAUCCAUUCAUAAGUGCUCAGCUUGUGAACAUAAAUUUUGGGAUGAUUUCUUCCAGGUAUGGAAACAAAGGGAGGCUCCUGGACCAGGUCUUUCUCAGAGUGGGAUACAGGAUACUUUCUAAGUACUUAGAGGGGAGGUUUCCAACUAAUUUAUACAAGCGCAGUGUAUAGAAAAAGAAAAAAAGUUCUGCUCAGUGUUGCUUGAGAAAUAAUUAAGGCAGCAGACUCAGAAUACCUCUUCUGAGAGCCAUUAUUUCCAUGGUUAUCAUCCUUUUACAAGAUGUCCAUGGCUUUUGAUAUGUUGGGACGUCUGUUAACGUGGGUGGUGAAUUGGAGAGGAACAGCUCUGUCAGUUUGAUUGAAACUCUUAAGGAAACAACCCACAGGACUGCCCAGAAGGGUUAUAGAGACAACGCUGCCAGGACACAAAGGUGGAGCCCUGCUGACUAAUGGGGAGAGUCCUAAGUACUAAACCUCCAAGGCAAUGCAGAAUCACCAGGACAAGAAAAAGAGCUGAUGGCAGGGCAGCUCCUAACACUGUAAGACAAUGACUGUGGAAAACAAAGAUGAAGCAGCUUGCACCUACAA
rnacentral:lncRNA from 1 species